rnacentral:pre_miRNA from 1 species
UAAACACUCUAAAGACACAUUGUUUGUAUAAUGUUUGAACAAUGUGUCUCAGAGUGUUGU